rnacentral:misc_RNA from 1 species
GCCGCGUUUCGUCCGGAGCCCGCGCCCGCCUCCGAUCUGCAAGGGUUAGCUAAGCCAUGGCAGAUCAGGUUAAUCAUCCAACCGUCAUUCAAAAGGUUGCUGGGCGGUACUGUCUCGGCUCUGGCUUUUGCCAAGAGUUGCAGCCUCGCAAUCGCAGCUACUGUACUCCGUCUAUGUAUGAUAGAUGCAUCCCUACUGGGAGCUACACCAAUGGGGGGCUGCAAAGCUCUUUGAUGCAUGUGCCCAGAUUUGGCUCUGACAUGUCUAUGGCAGUAUCACCUGUCUUUGCUCAUGCACCAGCAGAGAAAGGUCUUGCCAGCUUUGCUAUAGAUUUUCUCAUGGGUGGAGUCUCGGCUGCAGUUUCCAAAACCGCUGCAGCUCCUAUUGAGCGAGUAAAGCUCCUGAUACAGAACCAGGAUGAGAUGAUCAAGACUGGUCGGCUUUCUGAGCCUUACAAGGGAAUUACUGACUGCUUUGCUCGGACAAUAAAGGAUGAAGGUGUCAUGUCUUUGUGGAGGGGAAACACUGCGAAUGUUAUUCGUUAUUUCCCCACUCAGGCUUUGAACUUUGCAUUCAAGGACUACU